UACGGGGGGGUAAGCGUUGUUCGGAAUUACUGGGCGUAAAGGGCUCGUAGGCGGCCAACUAAGUCAGACGUGAAAUCCCUCAGCUUAAACUGGGGAACUGCGUCUGAUACUGGAUGGCUUGGAUCCGGGAGAGGGAUGCGGAAUUCCAGGUGUAGCGGUGAAAUGCGUAGAUAUCGAGAGGAACACCUGCGGCGAAGGCGGGUUGCUGGGCUGACACUGACGUGAAACUGCGAAAAGCUAGGGGGAGCGAACGGG
rnacentral:rRNA from 1 species